AUGAACGCUGGCGGCGUGCCUAAUACAUGCAAGUCGGGCGAACAGACGAGGAGCUUGCUCCUCUGACGUUAGCGGCGGACGGGUGAGUAACACGUGGAUAACCUACCUAUAAGACUGGGAUAACUUCGGGAAACCGGAGCUAAUACCGGAUAAUAUAUUGAACCGCAUGGUUCAAUAGUGAAAGACGGUUUUGCUGUCACUUAUAGAUGGAUCCGCGCCGCAUUAGCUAGUUGGUAAGGUAACGGCUUACCAAGGCAACGAUGCGUAGCCGACCUGAGAGGGUGAUCGGCCACACUGGAACUGAGACACGGUCCAGACUCCUACGGGAGGCAGCAGUAGGGAAUCUUCCGCAAUGGGCGAAAGCUUGACGGAGCAACGCCGCGUGAGUGAUGAAGGUCUUCGGAUCGUAAAACUCUGUUAUUAGGGAAGAACAAAUGUGUAAGUAACUAUGCACGUCUUGACGGUACCUAAUCAGAAAGCCACGGCUAACUACGUG
rnacentral:rRNA from 1 species